CCUACGGGAGGCAGCAGUGGGGAAUUUUGGACAAUGGGGGCAACCCUGAUCCAGCCAUUCCGCGUGAGUGAAGAAGGCCUUCGGGUUGUAAAGCUCUUUCAGCAGGAACGAAACGGUGGUCCCUAAUACGGGCUACUAAUGACGGUACCUGAAGAAGAAGCACCGGCUAACUACGUGCCAGCAGCCGCGGUAAU
rnacentral:rRNA from 1 species